GGAGGGUAGCUCAGUGGUAGAGUUCAUGCCUAGCAUGCACGAGGUCCUGGGUUCAAGCCCCAGCACUUCCA
rnacentral:tRNA from 1 species